GCUCGAGUGGUGGAAUUGGUAGACACGCAAGACUUAAAAUCUUGUGUCCAUCUGGACGUGCGGGUUCAAGUCCCGCCUCGAGUACCA
rnacentral:tRNA from 1 species